CCUACGGGUGGCUGCAGUCGAGAAUCAUUCACAAUGGGGGAAACCCUGAUGGUGCGACGCCGCGUGGGGGAAUGAAGGUCUUCGGAUUGUAAACCCCUGUCAUGUGGGAGCAAAUUAAAAAGAUAGUACCACAAGAGGAAGAGACGGCUAACUCUGUGCCCGCAGCCGCGGUAAUACAGAGGGCUCAAGCGUUGUUCGGAAUCACUGGGCGUAAAGCGUGCGUAGGCUGUUUCGUAAGUCGUGUGUGAAAGGCGCGGGCUCAACCCGCGGACGGCACAUGAUACUGGGAGACUAGAGUAAGGGAGGGGGAACCGGAAUUCUCGGUGUAGCAGUGAAAUGCGUAGAUAUCGAGAGGAACACUCGUGGCGAAGGCGGGUUCCUGGACAUUAACUGACGCUGAGGCACGAAGGCCAGGGGAGCGAAAGGGAUUAGAUACCCCAGUAGUC
rnacentral:rRNA from 1 species